rnacentral:rRNA from 1 species
GACGAACGCUGGCGGCGUGCUUAACACAUGCAAGUCGAGCGGUAAGGCCCUUUCGGGGGUACACGAGCGGCGAACGGGUGAGUAACACGUGGGUGACCUGCCCUCAGCUCUGGGAUAAGCCUGGGAAACCGGGUCUAAUACUGGAUAUGACUCCAUGACGCAUGUUGGUGGGGUGGAAAGCCUUGUGCGGCUGAGGAUGGGCCCGCGCCUAUCAGCUUGUUGGUGGGGUGAGGCCUACCAAGGCGACGACGGGUAGCCGGCCUGAGAGGGCGACCGGCCACACUGGGACUGAGACACGGCCCAGACUCCUACGGGAGGCAGCAGUGGGGAAUCUUGCGCAAUGGGCGAAAGCCUGACGCAGCGACGCCGCGUGAGGGAUGACGGCCUGGUU